rnacentral:rRNA from 1 species
UAUCCGGAUUUAUUGGGUUUAAAGGGAGCGUAGGCGGACACUUAAGUCGUUGUGAAAGUUUGCGGCUCAACCGUAAAAUUGCAGUUGAUACUGGGUGUCUUGAGUACAGUAGAGGCAGGCGGAAUUCGUGGUGUAGCGGUGAAAUGCUUAGAUAUCACGAAGAACUCCGAUUGCGAAGGCAGCUUGCUGGACUGUAACUGACGCUGAUGCUCGAAAGUGUGGGUAUCAAACAGGAUUAGAUACCCUGGUAGUCCACACAGUAAACGAUGAAUACUCGCUGUUUGCGAUAUACAGUAAGCGGCCAAGCGAAAGCGUUAAGUAUUCCACCUGGGGAGUACGCCGGCAACGGUGAAACUCAAAGGAAUUGACGGGGGCCCGCACAAGCGGAGGAACAUGUGGUUUAAUUCGAUGAUACGCGAGGAACCUUACCCGGGCUUGAAUUGCAACUGAAUGAUGUGGAGACAUG